rnacentral:tRNA from 1 species
UGAUUCGUAGCAUAAUUGGAAGUGCAUCGGUCUUCUAAACCGAAAGGUAAGAGUUCAACUCUCUUCGAAUCAG